rnacentral:rRNA from 1 species
UACAGAGGUCUCAAGCGUUGUUCGGAUUCAUUGGGCGUAAAGGGUGCGUAGGCGGCGCGGUAAGUCGGGUGUGAAAUCUCGGAGCUUAACUCCGAAACUGCAUUCGAUACUGCCGUGCUUGAGGACUGGAGAGGAGACUGGAAUUUACGGUGUAGCGGUGAAAUGCGUAGAUAUCGUAAGGAAGACCAGUGGCGAAGGCGGGUUUCUGGAGAGUGACUGACGCUGAGGCACGAAGGUCAGGGGAGCAAACGGG